AUUGAACGCUGGCGGAAUGCUUUACACAUGCAAGUCGAACGGUAGAGGGGGCAACCCCUCGAGAGUGGCGAACGGGUGAGUAAUAUAUCGGAACGUGCCCAGUCGUGGGGGUGAACGUAGCGAAAGUUACGCUAAUACGGCAUACGAUCUAAGGAUGAAAGCGGGGGAUCGCAAGACCUCGCGCGAUUGGAGUGGCCGAUAUCAGAUUAUGUAGUUGGUGGGGUAAAGACUCACCAAGCCAACGAUCUGUAGCUGGUCUGAAGGGACGACCAGCCACACUGGGACUGAGACACAGUCCAGACUCCUACGGGAGGCAGCAGUGGGGAAUUUUGGACAAUGGACGCAAGUCUGAUCCAGCCAUUCCGCGUGCAGGAUGAAGGCCCUCGGGUUGUAAACUGCUUUUGUACGGAACGAAAAGGUCUCUCUUAAUACGGGGGACUCAUGACGGUACCGUAAGAAUAAGCACCGGCUAACUACGUGCCAGCCGCCGCAGUAA
rnacentral:rRNA from 1 species